CAGCAGCAUCAGCAAUAUAACACCGACACAUCCUUUAAAUCCCCUCUUCUUCUUCAAGCUCCCAUCACUCCAAUCAAGGAAAAUCUGCCAAAUUUCUUGGCUUUUGCAGACCCAACAAAUUCAAUUAUCUUCUCCAUCACUUCAAGUUCUUAAAAAUGAAGACUUUUUGCUCCUUUUACUUCUUUCUUUUCCAUUUUUUGAAUUUUGAAUUUUAGCUUCUUGAAAAAGCUGUUGGAGUUAUAUUUUUGCCUAUAAAUAUAGCCUCAUAUUCAUUCAUUAAAAGGAGGAGGAGGGAGAUAUAAAGUUCACUGUUUCUAUUAUUUGAUUUCUUUUCCUAAUUGCAUUCAAAUUUGAGUUCGAAUCAUCGAAGGAAACCCCCUAGUUCGUUGCCCCAAAAAAGGAGGGUUGACAGAAGCGCUUCCUAUCAGAGAGGGUUACUUUACAGCUUGUCUUUACCUGUGGUACAAUACUGACACCCUUCCAGUUGGGGUUACAGGUUAGACCCCACCAGUUUAGUAUUGGGGCAUGUCAGUCAGAUGAUUACCUCCCACAGUUUCAAUUUCAAAUCCAGUUUCAGUAAUAGAACUCAGUUCAGUUCUACAAAAAUCUAGGACUGUCAGAUACAGUCAAAUCAGUACAUUACGGAACCCAGCUAGUUUCAUCAGUAUCAGGUUUAGAAGCACGAGAUCCCGAGCAUCCUUAGUAGAUUAGACGUUCAGCAGCCAGACUAGAAAGUUCGUUUAGAGUCUUAUGGCUUGAGUCCAUCUCUUGCCAAAUCAGAGAAGCGAACAAAUAUUGCAUCACAUAUUUCCAUCUAACAGUCUGGAUAAAUAGGACUGGAGAAGGAAAGUGUUGAAUAUUGGAUAAAAAGGGCAUCAGAUAUCACAGCUAAAAUUGUGGGAUCUGACCUUGGUCAUGCCAAGACUACCGUAACAUGAUCCAGAUGGUGAUUCUCAGGUGUUGCAUAGACAAGAAUCUCCUAUGAUCGAACAUUAAUCAUAUGAUAGUACCAUAUAAUCUUGAUAAGGGCGAAUAGAAACAUGCUUGCAGAAGCUAAAUGAAAAAAGGCUCAGAUGAUAGCAUCCCACGACCAUACUUUGAAGUCACGAUCAUGCCAUAAGGUCAUGGGAAGUAACUCUAGAUUUGCAAGUUUCAUAAGUUGACGUGUAGGAUGAUCAAACGACAAUAUUAUGAAGUGUAAGUUGAUACAGUGAAGCCCUACUGAGAGUUGUACCGGUGAAUAUCCAAAGGUGAUUAAAUUUAUGAGUAAACCACAUGCACCAAGGGAUAAUCGUGGGUUCUAACCAUGAUUGUACCUUCCUUCCUUCCGAGAUAGCCAACUCAGAUUUCUUGCUUUAUUUAGGCUAGGACUUAUUUUAUCUAUAAAUACUCUUAUAUGGUUAUUUGUACGAGUUUACACUAUAUUUACAACUUUAUAUUAUGAGAUUUUAAGACAUAUUCUUGGAAUUUCACAAACAUCAUUUCUAGGUUUUAAUUCAAGUUGAAAUUUUGGAGUUUUA